GCCAGCGUGGUGUAGUGGUUUGCAUGCUGGACUAUGACUCUGGAGAGCAAGGUUCAAGUCCCAGAUUGGCC